rnacentral:rRNA from 1 species
ACGUAGGAGGCAAGCGUUAUCCGGAUUCACUGGGCGUAAAGCGCGUGCAGGCGGUUCGGUAAGUUGGGCGUGAAAUCUCCUGGCUUAACUAGGAGAGGUCGUUCAAUACUACCGGACUUGAGAGUGAUAGAGGAAGAUGGAAUUCCCGGUGUAGUGGUGAAAUGCGUAGAUAUCGGGAGGAACACCAGUGGCGAAAGCGAUCUUCUGGAUCAUUUCUGACGCUCAGACGCGAAAGCUAGGGUAGUAAACGGGAUUAGAGACCCCGGUAAUCCUAGCCGUAAACGAUGUAAACUUGGCGUCGGUGGCUUAAACUCCAUCGGUGCCGCAGCUAACGCGAUAAGUUUACCGCCUGGGGACUACGAUCGCAAGAUUA